AGCGAACGCUGGCGGCAGGCCUAACACAUGCAAGUCGAACGAACCUUUCGGUGUUAGUUGCGGACGGUUGAGUAACACGUGGGAACGUGCCUUUAGGUUCUGAAUAACUCAGGGAAACUUUUGCUAAUACCGAAUGUGCCCUUCGUGGGAAAGAUUAAUCGCCUUUAGAGCGGCCCGCGUCUGAUUAGCUAGUUGGUUGAGGUAAUGGCUCACCAAGGCGACGAUCAGUAGCUGGUCUGAGAGGAUGAUCAGCCACAUUGGGACUGAGACACGUCCCAAACUCCUACGGGAGGAAGCAGUGGGGAAUCAUGCGCAAUGGGAGAAAGCCUGACGCAGACAUGACGCGUGAAUGAUGAAGGUCUGAGGAUUGUAAAAUUAUUUCAACGGGGACGAUAAUGACGGUACCCGGAGAAGAAGCCCCGGCUAAAUUCGUG
rnacentral:rRNA from 1 species